UAUAGAUUUCAAGGAAACAGAUGGCAGUGCGCAUCACUGAGUGACAAAAUGAGCAUCACUAUUGCAUGGGUUAGGGCCGAUCAGCUGUCUUUGGCUCACUCUGCCGUAGUUAGGCGGGAACAAACUCACAGGUGUGCUGAUAUAACCGAGGCGUCUCAGGGUCUCCGGGUUUCGACUUCCUGGUUCCUGAGUCCAGUUGUCCCCGGCGAUUUUCUCCUUGAUGGCGGCGAUGGAUAGUUCCGCCUGUUGCUGCCGCAGAUUUAUGGUCCCCAUCGAUAUCCCUCGCCUAUCGAUCUAUCUGCCGACCACAACACCACACUACGGUUUCGAGGUUCAUUUCAGCGAAAGAGGAGUGCAAAAGGAGGCUAUAUUUGUCCAACGUAGGCCAUCGCCCACACCCUGGGAUUAGGUGCCUCAUGUUCAACUGACUGAGCCAGCCGGGCUUACACUGCUAUUAUUUCAAGUCCUUUGCAUGGAAUACCCCAAUCCUGAUUCCUUGGAGGGUCUCCAGCUCGUAGAGACUGUUUCCAAUUGGUUUAACGACUCGACAUUUGACAUACUUCGGACAAAACUUGCCAUUAAUCCGAUUCUUGAAAUCACUUAGCACGAAAUUCCGUUUGAAAACUUCUUGCCCCGAAACAUAGUGGAUUUCCCGCGUUUUUAAAUUAUAAGUCUUAGCCUCUCUCUCAUAUGCUCUAUGCAGAUUCUUCUGGACUUCCUAGCGGGUGAUUUGUUGCUGGUCCUGUCUGGAAAGAUGUUGGACUUCGGCAUCCGUUAAGGCUCCUAGUUUGCGAGCGAGUUUGUAAUCCUUUCCGCUUGUAAACAUAUGCUGUCCAAACAGCACAAAAUAUGGCGAGGUUUCAAUGCUAUGGUGUAUAGCGCUUCAAGCCGCACCUUGGAUGUCGGGCAGUCUCUCGUCCCAACGUGUGUGGUCGUCUCCAACAUAUGUCCUUAUCGCCGCUAGGAUAGUUUGGUUGACCCUUUCCUCUGCGUUUGCCUGUGGUGCGUAAUUUCCAGAUCGCAUGUGGGUUAUUUCUCGCCGACUUCAGAAAUUUGUAAACUCCUCUGAUGUGAACUGUCUGCCGUUAUCCGUAUGAACGAUUUCUGGAACCCCAAACAUGGAAAAUAUCUCGCUGUGCAGAAAUCGGAUCACCGCCUUUGCCGUCGCUUUUGGCAUUGCUUUCAACCAAAUGAACUUUGACAUAUGAUCAAGGACUACCAGAAUAACCGCAUUACCACUUCGCGACCUUGGG